rnacentral:sRNA from 1 species
GCUCAGGGUCUGCAUGACCCAGUUGGGAACAAGGAUCCCAUGUUGAUUGACUCCCCACCUUGACAAGUAUCUUGUUGUUGGGAUGACCAGCAUGUGACUAUUGGGACAAGAUAGAAGUAUUUACAAAGCCAACAGUUUUGACCAAUUUAUGCGAAUUAGGGCAGAUUUGAGAGUACACUUAAGAGUUUUAAACUUUGUUUGAAAAAACAAAAAACAGUGUUCUUGGAAUAGUUUCUUUGGAGUAGAGCGCAUAAGGCCAAAUUUUAUCUGAUUGUUGGUGAGCACCUGUGGGUUUUUGUGUUCCUUAUGUAGUAUCCCUUAGGUUUGGGUCGAACAAUGUAAACCUUAUCAUUUCCACUGUUUUUAACAUCUCAAAUGAUGUCCCACGUCCUAGGUGCCAAUCCACAAAUGCCCACUCCUACAUCUUCUCCCUCCUCCCUCCAUUUUGCCACUAUGAUGCUGCUCUAAACUCACCCAACUUUUCGAAACCCACCACUCCAGCCUCCUCCUACGUUCGAGCAUCACAUCUCCACAGGACCAAGGGCCUUCCAUCCCAUUGGUUUCAAAUAAUGCCAUCCUCUGAUAUAUAUUGGUUGGUGGUCUAUUUUCUGGGAAGCUCUGGGUCAUCAGCCAGCAUAUAUUGUUCUUCCUCUAUUGCAGGACCUCUCUGUCACAGGACAUCCACUGUUUAAGCACCACCACUACCUCAGGAAGUCCACUGUCUGUGUGUCAACUCCCACUGUUACAGGACCACAAGUGUCUCAGCACUUCAACUAUCACAGCACUUCUACUGUUCAGGAGCUCAAGAGUCUCAGCAUCUCAAGUGUCACAGGACCUCCUUUGUCCAAGAACUGGACUGUCCAAGCAAUACUGCUAUUGCGGGACCUCCACUGUCACAGGAUUUCCACUGUAGGAGCACUACAACUGUCUCAGGACACCCACUGUCCUAUAACCUCCACUAUCCCAGGAAUUCCACUGUCGUAGCACCACCCGUAGCAACUAAAGUGUUUCAGGACAUCAACUGAAGCAAGAUCUCCCAUGAUUCUGCAACUUCACUGCCCCAGGAUCUCUACAGUGACAGGAAUACUUCUGUAUCAGCAAUUCCAAUUUUGCAGGACCUCCACUGUAGCAGAACCUCAAUUGUGCAGCAGCUCCCCUGUAUGUAGAUUGACCUCCACGAUCUCAGUGCCUCCACUUUCAAAGGACCUUCACUGUCACAGAACCGGCGCUAUUUCAGUGCCUCCACUGUCGCAGGACCUACCUCUUCACAGGAUCUGCACUGUUGCAGCAACUGUAAUUUCAAUUUUUCAAAGUCAUUGCUGGUUAUUAGAUUUCAGGCUGAAUGAAAUGAGAUGUUACUUUUGAAAGCAUAAGAAUUUGUUCUAUACCUCUUGUGAUAAAUGCCGUGUUUGCUAGGACCAGUAAACUAUGGAAGACUUCUUCAGCUCAUACCACUCUCCACCUCACUUUGUGGAAGCUGGUGUUUUUAGAGUGUGAUAAACUUCAGGUGAAUGGAUGCAUUCAGCUGCACCACGCUCUAGAGUGGACUACACAGCAGUCAUAUUGAGUCCUUGCUGGGAAGAGAAGAAAUCCAGAAGAAGGAGAAGGCUUGGGUUGGGGGAAGAAUCAUAAAAUACUUAGAGGAUAUUAGAAGGUAAGAAUUAUGGGGAACUGGAAAACAGAGCCAAAGGAAGAAUGAGCACAGAGCAAACUGGGAAGGACAAAGUACAAAGGCACUUGGGUUUUGCCAUCUGCGUGUUCUCUGGACAAUCUCCCUGGGCCACAUUUCUGGGAGAAAACUCUUCCCCCACCCCCUUGUAAGGUUUCAUUCUUGAAGGAAAGCAGCAACACAACUUCAUCAGUGAAUUUCCCCAUUGGAAUUGGUUCAUCCUUUAAUGCUUCUGGGAAAUCCCGAGCUGGGGAAUGUCCUGCUCUCUGCUGAGAGACAGCAGGAAAGUAGGUCGUCCUCUGUUUUCUCGUUGCUACAGCUCUUCUAAGUAUGGCUGAUUGUUGAGUGAAGACACAGGAUACUUCUGGUGUGUAUGUAUGCUUUGUUCACUGUGGGUGUUGUUGGGAGUGUCCUGAAAAGAAGGGCAUGCCCAAUGGCACUUCUGCUUCCUCUUUGACUAGCCUUAUGAUCAUAGGGAGACACUAGGCCAUUGGAAGAUGAGGAGAGCAAUGUGUCUAAGUUGUGUUCACUUCUAUUCCUAUUUAGUCCUAGAGGGAAAUCAGCAAGGGUGUGAGGAAUGCUGCUGUGCACUGACUGUGUGGUGUGAGGAAUGCUGCUGUGCACUGACUGUGUGGUGUGAGGAAUGCUGCUGUGCACUGACUGUGUGGUGUGAGGAAUGCUGCUGUGCACUGACUGUGUGGUGUGAGGAAUGCUGCUGUGCACUGACUGUGUGCUGUGAGGAAUGCUGCUGUGCAUUGACGCUGCCUUUUUUCUUUUCUCCCUACACCUGCAUCCUUCUGGUGGCUCAGGUUGGACAACUAGGUGCCCAUGACCAACUCCUCAUUGUGGAUGGAUUUAGUCUGGUUGGACUUUCUCAGGAAAGGCAGCUGAACUCAUGACUAGUACCAGUUCCACGGUUACCCUGGAAGUUGCAAAUCAAGACAUCCUCUCUCACUGCCUGUCCACCUUUCUUACCAACCCAUUGUCCUCCAUGGUGCAGAGAGGUAAGAGCUAGUGACUCAAGCCAGGUUAGCCAAUAUAUAGUAAUCCUGUAUUGAGAUAUGGCUCCUCCUAAAAGUUAUCAAAAUCUGGGGCUUGAAAGAUGGUUCAGUAUUUUACAACACCAGUGUUAGCUCACAAUUGCCCCUAAUUUCAGGGGAUUUGAAACCUUCUUCUAAGUUCUUUGGACACCAGUCAAACAUUCAUGUGCACACAUGCUGGGCAAACACUCAUACACAUAAAUUAUAUUUAUAAAGAGAGGCCCUAAAAGUCCCAUGUAGUAGCUCCUACCACAGCUCUUGCUCAGCUCUUCAAGGAAGAAGUUAGUUGAGACUGAGUGCAUGAUGCUGAGAAAUACUUCUGGAUCAUGAUCCAGAUCAGAUCUGAUGGUACAGUUUCCUAGAUACAUUCACAGUCUGUUAAGUGCAGUAUUGUGAACUCUCUUCUGACCCUGACUCAGCUGUGGAACCUGCACACCCUAGCCCUGACCUUUGUAGCUGGAGUAUCAACAACAGUAUCAGCAUCUGACAGCCUAGAAUCCUGUUUACUAAAGCGUAGGACAGGAAACAAUCCUGGCUAGACCAUGUGUUGGCAUCUUAAAGCAGAACACCAUUUACUAACUCAAAGAGGGACGUGGGUAACAAAUGAGUCCCAGGUGAGCAGACAGGAAGACUAAACUGUGAACAGGUGUGGAUAAUCACACCAGGUGACAGCACCAUGUGAUGCUGUCAUUCUGAUGGAUAAUAAUAUGUGUGUUAUCAGGUGAGAGAAGAGAAGUUGAGUGCUUUUUAAAAAAUACUCUAAAAAAGGUUACUUUGUUAUUUACAAAUUACAAUUCAGGUGUUGAGAAAAAAAAAUAAGGUCAGUUUCCCCCAUAGAUACUUAUUAAGUAAAUGAAAUGUUUUUCUAGACACAAUAUAUGUAAAAGCUUUUAAAAAUGUUCAUAUAAAGCUAUUUGUGGUGGCAUGUACCUUUAAUGCCAGCUCUAAGAAUGCAGAAAGAGGCAGAUUUCUGUUAGUUUCCGGUGCCCCUGUCUGUGUAGUGAAUUCCAGGCCAGCCUCAAAUAUAUAGUGAGACCCUAGGCUAUGGUUUCUUCUGAUUGCUUGGUUGUUUUUGCAUUUUUACGCUAGUCAAAGAAUGUAUAUAAAGAUCACCCUAUUGUACCAAGAGCAGUUAUUAAAUAUAAGAAUUUUAGACGCAUACUUUGAAGCUCUUCAAGUCUUAGAACCAGUAAGAGGGAGCGAAUGAAUGAAUUGGCUUUGGUUUCAGUUUCAGAUCGUUAUGGCUCAGGUAAACCCAGAGCACAGAGUGAAGUUUUUAUGAGUUUUAUUUUUCUUGGAUAUUUUAUGUAUUCACAUUUCAAACGUUAUCCCCUUCCCAUGCUCUCCCAACCCCCUGCCUCUGCUUCUAUGUGGAUGCUCCCGCUCCCACACACCCAUUCCCAUCUCAGUGCUCUGGAAUAAGGAUGCUUGCAUGUAACCAUUGCACUGAAUAGGGGGACCCCAAUGGAGGAGUUAGAGAAAGGACUGAAGGUGCUGAAGGGGUUUGCAACCCCACAGGAAGAACAACAAUAUCAACCAACCACAACCCACCAGAACUACCAGGUAGCAAACUAUCAACUAAUGAGUACACAUGGAGGGAUCCAUGGCUCCAGCCACAUGUGUAGCAGACGAUGGCAUUGUCCAUCAUCGAUAGGUGGAAGAGUAAAGGUUUUGAGCUCUAUAAUAAUUCAGCUCAAAACGGCUCCCCAGAGAGUCCUCAAAAGCCUUGGACAGAGCACAGUGAUGCAACGAAUCUGCCUGGUAAAGACAGGCUGAUGAAAAACAGAGCAGAUCACCUUUUCAGCCCCAAUGUGACAAGAGGAGGCACUCUCUAAGUCACCUUGUAACCCAGAAGCCAGUGAGGCACAUUGUACUUCGAUCAUUGUUGUUUUCAUAGAGGUCUCAAAUUAGUCCAAAAUUAGGAUUUUACUUGAAAACCCCUUGACCUUAUAGAUCAAAAUGCACUGUAAAUGUGUCUUCAAAAAAGUGUCAGGUUUCCAAGGUAGUGGAGAUCAUUUUUACACUUAAAAGGCUGGCUAACAAAGUAGUGAGGAUGGAAUAUCCUGAAUAGGGACCCCAACCUCCAAAAGGCUUCAACCUCCAAAAGGCUUCACGUAUUUACUCUCAUGUCUCUAGCACAGAUCUCAUCUGGUCCUGGAGAAAGUCCUUAUCCUGGUCUGUGGUGUCAGGAGACUUGUAGGGGUGUGUGCAGCCGUGCCAGUCUUGUUCACCAUGGGAUGGAAGCGGUCCCUGACCUGUGAGCCUAGAGGUGACCAGGUGCUCCAUUCUGAGACUGAGAGAGGCAGGAUGCCCACUCAAGGGUCCAUAGCAGGGAAGGUUUUCAAGCUAUGUACAGUGCUGGAAAAGCCUACACAGGGCAUACAGUUAGCAGUGAUGUGUUUGCAGGGAGUCCAAGGAACCAGCUUUGUACUGAUGCAGGAAUGACUGCAUAUGGUCAACACACACUACCCUGGAAGACCCGAGAGUUCAAGGACGGCCAACUUUCACUUAAGCAAACUUGUCCACAGACUGCGUGGGUCCCAUCAGCUGAGAGUAGCCUCCACAUUGCAGUGAUGUGCAAACUUCUGCCUUUCAGCCAUGAUGGACUUUAGGAUCUAACCUGAGGACCCUACACAAGGCACAGGUAGGUGAUGUGUAAAUGAGGCAUGUUACUGGGUCAGGUCUUCAGUGCAGUGUCUUAAGCUGUCAGGCUUUUGGGAGGGCAUAUGCUUCUCUAUUAAAUGAGCUGGCUUCUCUGAAGGCCUCAACUCUGCUGUGUCUGCCGCUCAUGCUCCCUCCUCCAAGAAUCUAACUGUCCCUAGCUCUCUGUGACUGGCUGGUCAGUCAGCCUUCAUGCCACUCCACAGCCACUCUACAACACAGAGCCCACACUGUCCUCUGCAGAAGUUUCACAGGGCUGCUGCUUUAGUCUCUCUGUUGCGCUAUGGGGGUCCAAAGUCAAGUUUCUUAGGUCCCUAGGUGUCCCUGAAAAGGCUCUAGAACAAGGAAGAGGUGAAGAAAUCAGGAAAUAAACUCCUGCAGUACUUCAUGACUACCACUGGAGGGCUCUACACCUUUCUGGUCCUAGUGUGCCACUCAGCAAGCCCUCUCACUCACUCUAAGGUUCUGAGCCUGAUGGAGAGGACUCCUGCUAAACCCAGUGUUCCCAAGAAACUGGCUGUACCGGCAGGGCUAACUGUAGAGGAUUCUCCACGACCCUGAGAACACAAUUUGGAAAUCUCAGGUAGGCAGGGUGUGUGGGGGAGCAACCAGGGCUGGAUGGAGACCUUACCCAGAA